CUGAUGCAGCANCGCCGCGUGAGUGAUGAAGGCCUUCGGGUUGUAAAACUCUGUCUUUGGGGACGAUAAUGACGGUACCCAAGGAGGAAGCCACGGCUAACUACGUGCCAGCAGCCGCGGUAAUACGUAGGUGGCAAGCGUUGUCCGGAUUUACUGGGCGUAAAGGAUGCGUAGGUGGAUAUUUAAGUCAGAUGUGAAAUACCCGAGCUCAACUUGGGUGCUGCAUUUGAAACUGGAUAUCUAGAGUGCAGGAGAGGUAAGUGGAAUUCCUAGUGUAGCGGUGAAAUGCGUAGAGAUUAGGAAGAACACCAGUGGCGAAGGCGACUUACUGGACUGUAACUGACACUGAGGCAUGAAAGCGUGGGGAGCAAACAGGAUUAGAUACCCUGGUAGUCCACGCCGUAAACGAUGAGUACUAGGUGUAGGAGGUAUCGACUCCUUCUGUGCCGCAGUUAACACAAUAAGUACUCCGCCUGGGAAGUACGGUCGCAAGAUUAAAACUCAAAG
rnacentral:rRNA from 1 species